UAUCUGGUUGAUCCUGCCAGUAGUCAUAUGCUUGUCUCAAAGAUUAAGCCAUGCAUGUCUAAGUAUAAGCACUUGUACUGUGAAACUGCGAAUGGCUCAUUAAAUCAGUUAUCGUUUAUUUGAUUGUACCUUUACUACUUGGAUAACCGUGNGUAAUUCUAGAGCUAAUACAUGCGGAAAGUCCCGACUUCUGGAAGGGAUGUAUUUAUCAGAUCAAAACCAAUGC
rnacentral:ncRNA from 1 species